rnacentral:rRNA from 1 species
GACGAACGCUGGCGGCGUGCUUAACACAUGCAAGUCGAACGAAGAGCGAUGGAAGCUUGCUUCUAUCAAUAUUAGUGGCUAACGGUGGAGGAACGCGUAAUCAACCGGCCGUUAAGAGGGGGACAACAGGUGGAAACGACUGCUAAUACCUCAUACGAUCCGACCUCGGCAUCGAGGAGGGAGGAAAGGGGGCCACUAUUUAUAAGCUAUCACUUAAGGAGGGGAUUGCGUCUGAUGAGCUAGGUGUAGGGGUAACGGCCCACAAAGGCAAUGAUCAGUAGCCGGUCUGAGAGGCUGCACGGCAAAAUUGGGCUUGAGACACGGCCCAGCAUACUACGGGGUGCAGACGGGGGGAACCUUACGCAAUGGAAGAAAGUCUGAAGGAGCCACGACGCGUGAGUGAUGACGGCAGUCGGGUUGUAAAGCUCAGUUAAUAGGGACGAAAGGUAUUCUUGAGAAUAGUUAGAAGAAUUGACGGUACCGGAAUAGAAAGCCACGGCUAACUACGUG